AGGUCAGAAUUGAACUGUUUUAUAGUGAAACAUAUAUAUCUAUUUCUAAUCAAUAUCUCCUCAGGAGGAAAGUAAGAAGUUUAUAUGUUUACAAAUUGUGUACUUCAAAGAAGUAUGACUCACACAUAUUCCGAGUAGAAGCUAUCAAUUUGGCCAAAACAAGACAUUCAACAGCUAUGAGAGAGUUAAUGAUGUACGGUCACUUGGUCAAAGGUUAGUAACUCGACCCCCCCCCCCUUUCCAGAACACUUGUAGUAACUUAGCCAAACAAACCCCAGAUUGUAAACAUCGGAUAAGAACCCCCAAAACAAAAGACUUCCUGUCUCCCUCCCAAUAACAAGACCCUUUCCCAGAACAGGUUAUGUGUGGUAGCUAUACCACCGUGAGAGUGUAGCUGUUAUAAAAGAAGGCAGAGGUAUUUGACAGAUUCACUCCUGUACUGCGCCCCAUCCAUGGGGCAGGCAGGGAGGUCGACUCUGCAAGCUUUUGGUGUAACAUGUCAUUAUAUAGGUGUUGACAAAUUACAAUCAACAUGUAAGAAGCGGGAACGAGAGGAAACGGUCCUCUAGGCCAGAUUGCCAGGGUGAGUGGGUUAUCAUAUUCAAUGUAUAAACCACUAAUUCAAUGUAGUUUUAAUUGGGAAUUAUGUUUGAUUGUUUGACAAAGUUCACUUGAUGGUUGUCUUCAUUUAUUUGUUGGGAAAGUUAUCCAUAACGAUGGAAGAACUUUAUUGAUUAGAUACUUGUUAUUUUCAUGCAAUAUUGAUUAAGUUUUAAUGAAUGUAAUAUAAACAACAUGUUUAUCAUUUAUUAUUAUGAGUCGGCUUGACGUCAUAUUGUUGGAAUGCGUAUCUAAGGGUCAACAAAUAUUAUGUUUAUCGCUAUUAUGUGUGUUUUUCAAACAUGUCCACAUUUUUAUUUAAUUGUUUUAACUUUGUUUAUUUGUCCAGGCUUUAGCUUUGGCUUUAGCUUACUUUAGCUUUGUUCACUUUGCACCUGAAAUAAAAAGAACCGCAACACAA